AGCUUCGCGAUGCAAAGAUGUUCCACGCCAAUAAUCUCCCAGCCGGAUGGUGUCGAAGACGACUUCCACGACGACUGCAAGUCUUACUCCAACUUUAAACAAAAUUUGAUCGGUAACGAGUUUAAGCCGUAUUUGCGAGGAAAUUUGAUAUUGGGGGAUAUCAUCGUCGGAGGUCAUCUGAUUAUGCCGAAGCCAUGCAGAUUUACAAGAUAUCGACCUAUUCUAACCGGCGAGGAUGCUAAGGGUGGUGUCGCAAAGAGGCAAACGUUUCGGCCACGAUUUUAAGUGAUUGGUGAAGUCUACGGUGUAAAUACAACAACUGUACUUUAACGGCAGAUACCAAAAAUCGUAAAUGCUGUCUACGACGAGUAUCCUGCCAUAAAAAUUAUCAGGGCGGAUGCUGUGCGCGAAAAUAGCGGGUUGGAGAUGACAACAAAGAGAGAUAAAUUCUUAUGAAAUACGUUCUGAAAUUUUGUUUGAAAAAAAUACUAUAUGUAUGGUACUAAGUACAUAUUAUAUUAUACUGUGUUUGAAUUUCUUCAUAAUAAAUCAUGUAUUAUUGCUA